rnacentral:rRNA from 1 species
AGUGGCGGACGGGUGAGUAAUGUAUGAGCAACCUGCCUUUCAGAGGGGGACGAACAGUUGGAAACGACUGCUAAUACCGCAUAAUGUAUUUGGGUGGCAUCACCUGGAUACCAAAGGAGCAAUCCGCUGAAAGAUGGGCUCAUAUCUGAUUAGUUAGUUGGUGAGGUAACGGCUCACCAAGACUGCGAUCAGUAGCCGGACUGAGAGGUUGAACGGCCACAUUGGGACUGAGAUACGGCCCAGACUCCUACGGGAGGCAGCAGUGGGGAAUAUUGGGCAAUGGGCGAAAGCCUCGACCCAGCAACGCCGCGUGAAAGGAAGAAGGUCUUCGGAUUGUAAACUUCUUUUAUGGAGGGACAAGGACGUGACGGUACCUCAUGAAUAAGCCACGGCUAACUACGUGCCAGCCGCCGC